rnacentral:lncRNA from 1 species
CUGGAUCUAGAAAAAUGCCUGGGAUGCCUGGUUUAGAUAAUGAUAACUGGGAAGUUCAGCGUUCUAGAUCAAUGCCAAGAGGCGAUCCGCUUCGCAACCAGGGUUCGUUGAUUAAUAAGGUUUCAUCUAUUAACAAGCCAUCACCCAUCAACCCCAGGCUUCUUCCUCAAGGCACUGGAGCACUGAUUGGCAAGAGUGCACUCUUGGGCACCGGUGGUCCACCAUCCCGCCCUUCCAGCAUUACGGCUAGCCCCACUCCUUUACCAGCUCAAACUACAGCAUCACCAAAACCAUCAAGUGCAACUCCAGCUUCUGUACCUAUUCCUGACAAAGCAGCCAGUUCUGCCAAGGUGAUCCCUGCAGGGCUUGAGAAGAAGACAGCAUCUCUUCUUGAGGAGUAUUUUGGUAUCCGUAUUUUGGAUGAAGCACAACAGUGUAUCGAGGAGCUGCAGAGUCCUGAUUACCACCCUGAGAUUGUUAAAGAAGCUAUCAAUCUUGCUCUGGAUAAAGGUGCCAGUUUUGUUGACCCUCUUGUUAAGCUUCUGGAGCAUCUGUACACCAAGAAAACUUUCAAGACUGAAGAUCUGGAAAAUGGUUGCUUGCUAUAUGGGUCGCUGUUGGAAGAUAUUGGUAUUGACCUUCCUAAAGCCCCAACGCAAUUUGGUGAGGUGAUUGCUCGUCUGAUUCUGUCGUGUGGCCUGAGAUUUGAAGCCGUGGAGGGGAUUCUAAAGGCAAUGGAGGACACCUUCUUCCGCAAAGCAAUAUUCACCUCCGUGACGAAAACCCUAGAAGCAGACCCAGCAGGCCAGGCCAUAUUGAGCUCACAUGCUGCAGUAGUCGACGCAUGCAACAGCCUCUCGAUAUAACAGCUCUUGGCAGCUCAACUUCUCAGGUGCUGUGUCUAGUGAAAAUCAGCGUAUGGUGUAUUCUCUAUAGCUUAGGUGUUUCACCGCAGAGGAACUGGGAUGUGAGCAACAGCCAGUUUUGAGCUGUAUAUUUUUGCGAGGUCACAUGAGUGUUGAUUAUUGUUUCGAGGACAGAAAGAAGCCAUGGAUUUUGGUCUCUCUGGCGACGGCGGCCUAACUCUUGCUGGAGCCUGGGAAUGAACAAGGCUCUUUGGUUUUCAAAUGGGAUGUUUUUGUGUCUCCUCCAAUGUUAUUAUUUCUUUUCAGUUCUUACACAAUUUGUAACAAUGUACUGUGGUUUUGGAGUAUUCUGUCGGUUACAAUAUAUCGUGUCAGCAUUGUAGGAGUCGAAAACUGAAUCUAAGAUCAUUUUGGCUUAUUAC